rnacentral:rRNA from 1 species
CAAUAGCGUAUACUAAUGUUGUUGCAGUUAAAAAGCUCGUAGUUGAACUUCUGGUAGGAGUGUCCCGGCCUUUUUGUUUUUACAAAUUGUAUGCUGUGUGACAUCUCUGGCCAUCCUUCUUCUUUGUUUAAAGAAGAUUUUUCACUGUAAAAAAAUUAGGGUGUUCAAAGCAAAAGUUUCUUUGGAAUAUAUUAGUAUGGGAUGAUAAGAUAGGCUCUAGAUGCUAUUUUGUUGGUUUGCACAUUUAGAGAAUGAUUAACAGGGACAGUUGGGGGUAUUCGUAUUUACAUGUCAGAGGUGAAAUUCUUGGAUUUUGGAAAGACGAACUACUGCGAAAGCAUUUACCAAGGAUGUUUUCAUUAA